AUUGAACGCUGGCGGCAGGCCUAACACAUGCAAGUCGAACGAGUGGCGGACGGGUGAGUAAUGUCUGGGAAACUGCCCGAUGGAGGGGGAUAACUACUGGAAACGGUAGCUAAUACCGCAUACCAUCGGAUGUGCCCAGAUGGGAUUAGCUAGUAGGUGGGGUAAUGGCUCACCUAGGCGACGAUCCCUAGCUGGUCUGAGAGGAUGACCAGCCACACGGGAACUGAGACACGUUCCAGACUCCUACGGGAGGCAGCAGGUGGGAAUAUUUCACAAGGGGCGCAAGUCUGAUGCAGCCUUGCCGCGUGUGUGAAGAAGGCUUUCGGUUUUUAAAGUACUUUCAGCGAGGAGGCGUUACUCGCAGAAGAAGCACCGGCUAACUCCGGUCCAGCAGCCGCGGUAAUAC
rnacentral:rRNA from 1 species